rnacentral:rRNA from 1 species
UAGAGUUUGAUCCUGGCUCAGAACGAACGCUGGCGGCAGGCUUAACACAUGCAAGUCGAACGCUCGUAGCAAUACGGGAGUGGCAGACGGGUGAGUAACGCGUGGGAACAUACCCUCCGGUUCGGAAUAGCUCAGGGAAACUUGGAUUAAUACCGGAUACGGCUGAGAGGCGAAAGAUUUAUCGCCGGAGGAUUGGCCCGCGUUCGAUUAGCUUGUUGGUGAGGUAACGGCUCACCAAGGCGAUGAUCGAUAGCUGGUCUGAGAGGAUGAUCAGCCACAUUGGGACUGAGACACGGCCCAAACUCCUACGGGAGGCAGCAGUGGGGAAUAUUGGACAAUGGGCGCAAGCCUGAUCCAGCCAUGCCGCGUGAGUGAUGACGGCCUUAGGGUUGUAAAGCUCUUUCGCUCGGGACGAUAAUGACGGUACCGAGAAAGAAGCCCCGGCUAACUUCGUGCCAGCAGCCGCGGUAAUACGUAGGGGGCCAGCGUUGCUCGGAAUUACUGGGCGUAAAGGGUCCGUAGGCGGUGCGGCAAGUCGAGAGUGAAAUCCCUAGGGCUUAACCUAGGGGCUGCUAGCGAAACUGCCGUGCUAGAGUGUGAGAGAGGCGAGUGGAAUUACGGGUGUAGCGGUGAAAUGCGUAGAUAUCCGUAGGAACAUCCGAGGCGAAAGCGGCUCGCUGGAUCACAACUGACGCUGAGAGACGAAAGCUAGGGGAGCAAACAGGAUUAGAUACCCUGGUAGUCCUAGCCCUAAACCAUCAGGACUUGGGGUUUGCCCUGUACGGGGCAAGUCCCGUAGCUAACGCGUUAAGUCCUGCGCCUGGGGAGUACGGUCGCAAGGCUGAAACUCAAAGGAAUUGACGGGGGCCCGCACAAGCGGUGGAACAUGUGGUUCAAUUCGACGCAACGCGAAGAACCUUACCUGGGCUUGAACCGCACAGGACCAGCUUGAGAAAUCAGGCCUUCCCGCAAGGGACCUGUGUAGAGGUGCUGCAUGGCUGUCGUCAGCUCGUGCCGUGAGGUGUUGGGUUAAGUCCCGCAACGAGCGCAACCCUUACUCAUAGUUGCUACCCGCAAGGGAGAACUCUAUGAGGACUGCUCCGGAUAACGGAGAGGAAGGUGGGGAUGAGGUCAAGUCAGCAUGGCCUUUAUGUCCAGGGCUACACACGUGUUACAAUGCGCGCCACAAAGCGUCGCGAACCCGCGAGGGGGAGCUAAUCGCAAAAAAGCGCGCUCAGUUCGGAUUGCAGUCUGCAACUCGACUGCAUGAAGCCGGAAUCGCUAGUAAUGGCGCAUCAGAACGGCGCCGUGAAUACGUUCCCGGGCCUUGUACACACCGCCCGUCACAUCACGAAAGUGGGCUGUACUAGAAAUCGCCGAGCCAACCGCAAGGAGGCAGGCGCUCAAGGUAUGACUCAUGAUUGGGGUGAAGUCGUAACAAGGUAGCCGUAGGAGAACCUGCGGCUGGAUCA